UGAGAACAAAUUCUGACACCUGGCUCCUUCUCUUAAAGGGAAAUGAAACACAAGAGACUAAUGUCAGGGUUAUUUACUAAACCAGGAAAUCUCUCUCUACCAGCAAUCAUUCUUCAUUCCUUCCCAUCAACCCUCAGCCAGCCAUCAUCCUUAAUCCCUUUCCAUCAACCCUCAGCCAGCCAUGAUGCUUAUGCCCUUUCUAUCAACCCUCAGUCAGCCGUCAUCUUUAAUCCCUUUCCAUCAACCUUCAUCCAGCCAUCAUCGUUAUUCCCUUCCAAUGAACCCUCAGCCAGCC